rnacentral:rRNA from 1 species
AGUGGCGACCGGGUGAGUAACACGUGACUACCUGCCCUUGAGUGGGGGAUAACCUCGGGAAACCGAGGCUAAUACCGCAUAAUAUCGCAAGAUCAAAGGAGCAAUCCGCUUUUGGAGGGGGUCGCGGCUGAUUAGCUAGUUGGUAAGGUAACGGCUUACCAAGGCGACGAUCGGUAUCCGGCCUGAGAGGGCGCACGGACACACUGGAACUGAAACACGGUCCAGACUCCUACGGGAGGCAGCAGUGGGGAAUUUUGCGCAAUGGGGGAAACCCUGACGCAGCAACGCCGCGUGGAGGAUGAAGCCCCUUGGGGCGUAAACUCCUUUCGACUGGGAAGAUUAUGACGGUACCAGUGGAAGAAGCACCGGCUAACUCUGUGCCAGCAGCCGCGGUAAUACAGAGGGUGCGAGCGUUGUUCGGAAUUAUUGGGCGUAAAGGGUGCGUAGGCGGUUCGGUAAGUCUUGUGUGAAAUCUUCGGGCUCAACUCGAAGUCUGCACGAGA